rnacentral:tmRNA from 1 species
GGGGAUGCAAUGGUUUCGACGGGGGUUUAGAGGCAUGAGGAGCGGGCCGAAACGGCAGCCGCGUUAAGGCGCCAAACUAAAAUUAAACGCUAAUAACAAUAAUUACGAAUUAGCUGCCGCUUAAUUACAGCGGCAUGUCCUUCAGCGGCCUAUCGCGAGCCGCUAACGGAUAUCAACACUAAGCGAUGAACGUGAGGCGGGAAAGCUUUGACCCGUCCAUGCAUCUAUGAAGCUACCGAAUACGCCGGUAUGUCUGUGGAACGGCGUAUAAGGGAAUUUUAGCCAUAGACUACGCCCGUAGCGCCUUGUGAGGAUAAAUUUUCGGACAGGAGUUCGAUUCUCCUCAUCUCCACCA